rnacentral:rRNA from 1 species
ACGAAGGGUGCAAGCGUUGUUCGGAUUCAUUGGGCGUAAAGCGCGCGCAGGCGGGUAAUUAAGUCAGAUGUGAAAUCCCAGGGCUUAACCCUGGAACUGCGUUUGAUACUGCUUCGCUAGAGUGCGGGAGAGGAAAGUGGAAUUACUGGUGUAGAGGUGAAAUUCGUAUAUAUGAGGAGGAACACCGGUGGCGAAGGCGACUUUCUGGCCUGAUACUGACGCUCAGGCGCGAAAGCGUGGGGAGCAAACAG